rfam:Sinorhizobium meliloti strain SM11 plasmid pSmeSM11b, complete sequence.
GGCGCCGCGAGGCCGUGUGGGGAGGAAGUCCGAGGCGAACCGCAGCACCGAACGAAAGUGAACCCCCGAGCAGGCCGGAUCGACCGGGUGAGCGUGCCUACAAACGCGACGCCCAAAAUCCAACCGAGGUCGAUACGGUAGUGGGGGCGGGAGCGGCGGGACAUCCAGUGUU